GACGAACGCUGGCGGCGUGCUUAACACAUGCAAGUCGAACGAAGAGCGAUGGAAGCUUGCUUCUAUCAAUCUUAGUGGCGAACGGGUGUGUAACGCGUAAUCAACCUGCCCUUCAGAGGGGGACAACAGUUGGAAACGACUGCUAAUACCGCAUACGAUCUAAACUCGGCAUCGAGGAUAGAUGAAAGGUGGCCUCUACAUGUAAGCUAUCACUGAAGGAGGGGAUUGCGUCUGAUUAGCUAGUUGGAGGGGUAACGGCCCACCAAGGCGAUGAUCAGUAGCCGGUCUGAGAGGAUGAACGGCCACAUUGGGACUGAGACACGGCCCAGACUCCUACGGGAGGCAGCAGUGGGGAAUCUUCCGCAAUGGACGAAAGUCUGACGGAGCAACGCCGCGUGAGUGAUGACGGCCUUCGGGUUGUAAAGCUCUGUUAAUCGGGACGAAAGGCCUUCUUGCGAAUAGUGAGAAGGAUUGACGGUACCGGAAUAGAAAGCCACGGCUAACUACGUG
rnacentral:rRNA from 1 species